UUGUGCUUCAGAAGAACGUUCCCCCUUUUCUUUCAAGCACUCUCUCUUUUCUUCCUUGCCUUGCCACUCUCUCUAUUCCAACUCCAAAAUCUAACCAUUUGUUUCCCGAAUUGAAGCUACCUAGACCUUCAGGACUCCAAGAGCUACGUUUCUACCGAUUGAUUUUCCGUUUUCUCCAACCGGUGAUUCUAACAUUUUGGGAGUGCAAGCAAGUGGUCUAGGGUUCCUACUUGAGCUUGGUUGUCUACACUAGAGUAGGUGAUGAUGUACCAUUGGAGCAAGCUUUGGAGGUUGAAGAAGACCCAGCCCCUAGUACUUAGGCCUUCUACUAGCUCUUAGUUGAUUAGUGUGUUAUUUUGAAAAACUCCUAGCUUUUAUUUUAUAUAGUUCGAC